rnacentral:rRNA from 1 species
AUAGGGGAGCCGGAGGGAAACCGAGUCUUAAUUGGGCGUUAAGUUGCAGGGUAUAGACCCGAAACCCGGUGAUCUAGCCAUGGGCAGGUUGAAGGUUGGGUAACACUAACUGGAGGACCGAACCGACUAAUGUUGAAAAAUUAGCGGAUGACCUGUGGCUGGGGGUGAAAGGCCAAUCAAACCGGGAGAUAGCUGGUUCUCCCCGAAAGCUAUUUAGGUAGCGCCUCGUGAAUUCAUCUCCGGGGGUAGAGCACUGUUUCGGCUAGGGGGCCAUCCCGGCUUACCAACCCGAUGCAAACUGCGAAUACCGGAGAAUGUUAUCACGGGAGACACACGGCGGGUGCUAACGUCCGUCGUGAAGAGGGAAACAACCCAGACCGCCAGCUAAGGUCCCAAAGUCAUGGUUAAGUGGGAAACGAUGUGGGAAGGCCCAGACAGCCAGGAUGUUGGCUUAGAAGCAGCCAUCAUUUAAAGAAAGCGUAAUAGCUCACUGGUCGAGUCGGCCUGCGCGGAAGAUGUAACGGGGCUAAACCAUGCACCGAAGCUGCGGCAGCGACACUCAGGUGUCGUUGGGUAGGGGAGCGUUCUGUAAGCCUGCGAAGGUGGCCUGUGAGGGUUGCUGGAGGUAUCAGAAGUGCGAAUGCUGACAUAAGUAACGAUAAAGCGGGUGAAAAGCCCGCUCGCCGGAAGACCAAGGGUUCCUGUCCAACGUUAAUCGGGGCAGGGUGAGUCGACCCCUAAGGCGAGGCCGAAAGGCGUAGUCGAUGGGAAACGGGUUAAUAUUCCCGUACUUGGUGUUACUGCGAAGGGGGGACGGAGAAGGCUAUGUUGGCCGGGCGACGGUUGUCCCGGUUUAAGCGUGUAGGUGUGUGUUCCAGGUAAAUCCGGUUCACUUUAACACUGAGGCGUGACGACGAGGCACUACGGUGCUGAAGCAACAAAUGCCCUGCUUCCAGGAAAAGCCUCUAAGCAUCAGGUAACAUCAAAUCGUACCCCAAACCGACACAGGUGGUCAGGUAGAGAAUACCAAGGCGCUUGAGAGAACUCGGGUGAAGGAACUAGGCAAAAUGGUGCCGUAACUUCGGGAGAAGGCACGCUGACAUGUAGGUGAAGUGAUUUACUCAUGGAGCUGAAGUCAGUCGAAGAUACCAGCUGGCUGCAACUGUUUAUUAAAAACACAGCACUGUGCAAACACGAAAGUGGACGUAUACGGUGUGACGCCUGCCCGGUGCCGGAAGGUUAAUUGAUGGGGUCAGCGCAAGCGAAGCUCCUGAUCGAAGCCCCGGUAAACGGCGGCCGUAACUAUAACGGUCCUAAGGUAGCGAAAUUCCUUGUCGGGUAAGUUCCGACCUGCACGAAUGGCGUAAUGAUGGCCAGGCUGUCUCCACCCGAGACUCAGUGAAAUUGAACUCGCUGUGAAGAUGCAGUGUACCCGCGGCAAGACGGAAAGACCCCGUGAACCUUUACUAUAGCUUGACACUGAACAUUGAGCCUUGAUGUGUAGGAUAGGUGGGAGGCUUUGAAGUGUGGACGCCAGUCUGCAUGGAGCCGGCCUUGAAAUACCACCCUUUAAUGUUUGAUGUUCUAACGUGGACCCGUGAUCCGGGUUGCGGACAGUGUCUGGUGGGUAGUUUGACUGGGGCGGUCUCCUCCUAAAGAGUAACGGAGGAGCACGAAGGUUGGCUAAUCCUGGUCGGACAUCAGGAGGUUAGUGCAAUGGCAUAAGCCAGCUUGACUGCGAGCGUGACGGCGCGAGCAGGUGCGAAAGCAGGUCAUAGUGAUCCGGUGGUUCUGAAUGGAAGGGCCAUCGCUCAACGGAUAAAAGGUACUCCGGGGAUAACAGGCUGAUACCGCCCAAGAGUUCAUAUCGACGGCGGUGUUUGGCACCUCGAUGUCGGCUCAUCACAUCCUGGGGCUGAAGUAGGUCCCAAGGGUAUGGCUGUUCGCCAUUUAAAGUGGUACGCGAGCUGGGUUUAGAACGUCGUGAGACAGUUCGGUCCCUAUCUGCCGUGGGCGCUGGAGAACUGAGGGGGGCUGCUCCUAGUACGAGAGGACCGGAGUGGACGCAUCACUGGUGUUCGGGUUGUCAUGCCAAUGGCACUGCCCGGUAGCUAAAUGCGGAAGAGAUAAGUGCUGAAAGCAUCUAAGCACGAAACUUGCCCCGAGAUGAGUUCU